AUCCAGUUGACGAGUCCCAAAUAGGACGAAAUGAGCCUUAUCCUGGCUGGAU
rnacentral:hammerhead_ribozyme from 1 species